rnacentral:rRNA from 1 species
GGAUGGGAUCAUACCAGCACUAAAGCACCGGAUCCCAUCAGAACUCCGAAGUUAAGCGUGCUUGGGCGAGAGUAGUACUAGGAUGGGUGACCUCCUGGGAAGUCCUCGUGUUGCAUUCCC